AUGAAACUCCUUGAGGAUAUUUAAUCAGAAGUAAUCCAGAUAACUAAUUAAGAAAUAUUCAAUUUGAUGAAGUUGACGAUUGUCUUGCUCAGCAAGGAUUUAAAAUAUCUGGAUAUUUAGGUCCCCAAGACCUUUCUUUUUGGCCAUACGCUAUCUUUAAGGCCAACAAUUUUUCUUUCUCUCCAAUUCAUUUUGAUGUUGUGAGUUUUUUUUGAAACACCCUUGUCCAGGGUCGAUAUUUAUAUAACCUGUAUAUCUGUGAAGUAUCCAAGUAUAUAAAUGCAGUACGACAUCAUCCACGUGUAUAACAUCGACGAAAAAAACAUAAGGUAGGAUCAAACCAAUACUUCUCUUAAAAGAACGUUGUUUUGCCUGUCUAAGCCACCACACCAUACAGCAGUCUGACAAAUAUCUCGGUUUUGUAUUUUUUUCUUGUAAAUAGUACCUAAAUAUAAUAUUACAUAGUUUUAAGAAUUAUAAUAUGGGUGUACGCUGAAAAGAAUAUUCUUAGAGGCAAAUAUAAACUUUAGUUGAGCUUUUUACCUUUUCCUUUUGGGUUUUUUUAUAUUUUCAAUUAAGAUUAAUAUGAAUUUUUUUAGUUUUGGUUAAUAAGAAUAAAUAGUUUGUGAAUUCUCCGAUUUUUUUUUAUUUCUUAUUAUUAUUUUUUUGUUUGGUAGAAAAUAAAA